rnacentral:snRNA from 1 species
GUGGUCAUUUUGACAGCACAUAUACUAAAAUUGGAACAAUACAGAGAUUAGUGGGGCCCCUGGCACAAGGAUGACAAGCGAAUUCGUGACGGGUUCUAUAUUAAA